rnacentral:piRNA from 1 species
GUCUCUUUUGAUGUGUUGAGGACCCC